UACGUAGGGUGCAAGCGUUUAAUCGGAAUUACUGGGCGUAAAGCGUGCGCAGGCGGUUAUGUAAGACAGGUGUGAAAUCCCCGGGCUUAACCUGGGAACUGCAUUUGUGACUGCAUAGCUAGAGUACGGUAGAGGGGGAUGGAAUUCCGGCGUGUAGCAGUGAAAUGCGUAGAUAUGCGGAGGAACACCGAUGGCGAAGGCAGCUCGCUGGAACGGUACUGACGCUGAGGCGCGAAAGCGUGGGGAGCGAACAGG
rnacentral:rRNA from 1 species